UAGAUAUAGAAAGAGAGAGAGAGAGAGGAGCAUGAGAUAGAUAUAAAGUUGAGAUUUAUUCCUAUAUCGAUACACCCUUUUUUCUUUGUAUUUAUUGUUUCAUUGAUCUGUUUUUCUU
rnacentral:ribozyme from 13 species